ensembl:snRNA U1 U1 spliceosomal RNA
AUAAAUACCUGGCAGGGGAGAUACUGUGAUCAUAAAGGUGGUUUUCACAGAGCAUGGCCUAUUCAUUGUACUCUAAAUGUUUUGACCCCUGCAUUUCCCCCAAAUAUGGGAAACUUGACUGUAUAAUUUGUGGUAAUGGGGAGAUACAUAACUGCUAAGCCACC